AUCUAGAUGGUCCAAAACCAAUCGUUUUCAGGCAAGGAAGACAAAAAUCCUUAUACUCACCUUAAUGAGUUUGAACACACUUGUGCGUUUCAAUUCUCAGCAGAGCAAUCAACAGAGGUUCUAGGGACCAGUUAGUCAAUGGGAUCGCAACCAACAAUCUCAGCGUAAUCCUAAUCAUCAACAGAGUGGACAGCAGACUUCCCGCUCCGGAGAUUCAAAUGCCACCUCUAUGAAGAGAAGUGCUCCCAAUACCCCUACUAGGUGUUUUCGCUGUGGGAAAGAAGGUCAUAUGUCAUAUGAUUGCCCGGAGAGAUUCAACCAGCGGAACAACAAUCAAAAGUCUAAUUCUCAUGGAGCAAAGGUGAACCAUGUGGCUGCAGAGACAGUACAAGAGGGACCGGAGAUUAUAAUGGGUACGUUCAGUAUCAACUCUAUUCCCGCUACAGUUUUAUUUGAUUCUGGAGCUUCGCAUACAUUCAUAUCACAAGCAUUUGUUAGAGCUCAUAGCAUACCACUAGUUGCCCUGAAAACCCAUAUGCUAGUAAACUCACCGGGAGGGACUAUACCAGUUUCAUAUUGUUGCCCCUCAGCAAGUCUUUCUUUAAGGGGGGUAGAUUUCCCUGUUAGUCCCAUGGUUAUGAGAACCUCAGGCAUAGAUGUGAUAUUGGGUUUGGAUUGGAUGAAGAAAUAUGCUACGGAAAUUAAGUGCAAGGAGAAAGUAGUAGUUGUGACCACACCCAAGGGAGAGAGAAUCAGUGUGGACGUAGCAGUACAAGCUCCACCCACAGCCACAGUGAAUCAUUUAGAGGAUGAUGGUGUUGAUCUUCAGGACUGUGUAGGGAAUAAAUUUUCAGAUAAGUUAUCAGGUAUGUUACUUGACUAGAGACAUUGAAUUUGCUAGUGCAAUGGGAUUGGCAUUCACAAGGAGAAACAACUUGGGAAAGAGAAGAGGAUUGGAGAGACGAGAUUCUUUUAAGGAGGGUAGAGUUUGUAACACCCAAAAUUUUGAAUUUUAAUUAAUAGGAUUUAAUUUGAAUUAUUUAAGAAUUUUAGUGAGCAUUUAAUGUAGCAAAUAAAUAAUUUUUGUGGAAAUUAAAAUUUAUCAUAAGCUUAGUAACAUGAUUUUGUGCAUUCAUGCUGAGAUAUAUUUUAUUUUGUGUUGAUUGUAUUUGGUUUGUAUUUAAUUGUCCUCAAAAUCCUUUCUAAAAAAAAACUUUGAAAAAAAAAAUAAAACAAAAUAGAAAAGAAAUUAGAAAUAAAAAAAAGAGAAAGCCUUUGGAAGACAGCCGAAGCCCAGCUCCCCGGCCUGGCUCCUCCCCCUCUUCUCUGCUCGCUGACACCCUGGGGCCGCAUGUCAGCGCUUCCAUCUCCUUCCUCUGUUCGUAACCGAGCCGGACACGGCCGGGAGCCAAUCGAACCCGAUUUCUCGGGAUUAGUUGCCAAACGCGUUAGCCGAGCCCCUAUAUAAUCCCUAGCAUCGCCCCGCGCGUGUUUCCCAUCUUCGCCGCGCAAAAUCCGUGUCCUAGCUACAGCAGCCGCCAGACGGGAUCUUGCCGCAAGCCGAGCGCCUUGCCGCGCGCCGCGAGCUCCUCCCGUCGUUCUUCGGCCCCAGCAAAGCACCUCCUCGAGUUCGCGGUGAGCUCCUCGUUCCGAUGGUAUUUUUCUUUCUUGAAACGGUGCUCGGAAACGAGAAACUCGCGAACGCCGGCGAGCUUUCUAACGGUGGCCAUGGCGCCACCGUGCUGAGCUCCGGUCGGCCGGCCAGGCUUGACCCUGGAUGGAACACCAGCCGUUAGAUGCAAGAUCAAGGGACAGAAAUAGAAGUUACCCCUUCAGCUGCGAAACUAUAUAAAGAGUCCUUGAACUUUUUCAUAUUUGCUCCGCAGUCCUUGGCGCCCUGAGACGAUUCCGUUACUCAACUCCGAAAGCGUAUUUCGUAACCGCUUGAGUAAAAUACGUUUUCUAGAAAUUAUAGAAUUGCCAUUGGAUUUAGUUUGCUCAUAAAAUACUCAUUUUAACUCCGUUUUUGUCCAUUCAAAUUCCGUUGGAUUCGUAUUUACGAUCUCUACAUGUUAGAAAUAUUAGUUUACUGUUUUGAAACUUUUUAAUUCUGCAGUAGCAUUUAAUUAAUUAUUACUCUAUAGGAAAUCUUAGAAAAUUCAUAUCUUACUCGUUUCAAUUCCGAUUUUCGUGAACUUUACGUUUGUGUGAUCGUAGCGCUGCGUAAAAUAUUUUCAUAAAAUUUUAUAUUUGUUUUACCACUGUUUGGUGUAUUGUUCUAAUUAUAUCCUGUUGCUUCGUGUAUGAUUGUCUACAUUGGAUUGCGUGUUGUUGAUUGAUGAUUGGAAUUAGACGGUGAGCCGUACGUUGGUGACCAAGACCAAGCUUUUGAGGACCAGCAGGCUCAAGAGAGCUUUAAUCAAGGCAAGUAUAACUUGGGAUCAUCCUUGCUACCUAUUCACUUAUAAAUACAUAUAUAUCAUAUGCAUGCUAUCACCUUGUCGACCUUAGCAAAAUCAUAGAUGAUUGUUACCUGUAUUCCUUGCCUACCUACUUGAUGUGCAUUUGUUGUAGAUGUGCUAGUGCUUGAUAUAAUCCAUGAUCUUGUAAGAUGAUUAAUAGCUAUGCAAUGAACAUAAAAGAAUGACACAUAUAACUGUAUGAGAUCUUGUCUGUAAGUGAUCACCGGGACAACAGUGCAACCAUGAGGGCUAUAAUGGCUCUGGCUUUAGCUCAGUAUGAAGCCCUUUUCUAGCUUGUUAGAGGUUACCCGAAAGGGCGGAGGGGCUGAACCGUUUUGGGUAUAGUGUGGCCUCUGUCUGUAUGAGUAUAGGCUGCGCGUCAUUGUGCCAUCGGAAGGGGGGCUCUAUAUCUGCUCGCAAAGGAAACCUUGCGGCCCUAACUUGUUAGACGAACUUUUGAAAGGCUUCAUAGUGACCCCUGCCGACCUCCCUAGGAAGGGGGUUAAGAGAUUAGCUACCUCGGGCGAAAGGGUAAAUCAUGACUCAUGGGUAAAGAUGUACAACCUCUGCAGAGUGUAAAACUGGUAUACUAGCCGUGCUCACGGUUAUGAGCGGCCUUGGGGGUUCUUGCUGCGCCGACGAUGAGCUUAUUAAGUUGUUAUGUUAAUUUGAUUAUCGUUUAUGCAAUGGAUUAAUUAUGCUUACACUUGAUCAUGUGAUUAGUGGAUUAUUUAUGCUUCCUUGACAAUUGCUAUUUAAUUAUGAACAUGCUAUCCACUAUUAAAAGCUAAAUGCAGUCAAACCAGUGUCAGCUAUUUGAGCCUCAUGAACCCCUGGUUAUACUUGUUGAGUACGAUAUGUGCUCACUCUUGCAAUUUCCCAACACCUCAGGGUAUGAUAAUGAAGAUGACUGGAAUGAGGAUUAUCGGUAUGAGUACUAGGUUUGGAGUCAACCAGUCAACAGUGUCCCUGUGUGGAGCUUCUGUCGAGAGCGUUGUUUACUUUAUGCUAUCAUUUUUGUAUGAGACUAUGUGAUUCAAUAUAUAUUCCGCUAUGUAAUAAACACUGCAAUGGUACAUUUGAGAUUUGUCUACUUAUGUGUGCGACUAUUCCUGGGGCACAUAUGAGUCUUUUAUGCAUCCUAUUUUGUUCUUAAAAUAUGGGUGUGACAAAUUGGUAUCAGAGCUUUGUUGACUGUCGGACGCAAGCCUAGUUAGAAAUUGGCCGUCAUAAGGUUUUGAAAUUGCUAUAAAAUCCUUGUUCUAUAAACCUUGAUAUUUUCUUCUACACUAUAUCCUAUUCAUCUUCACCUUGUUGCUUAUCUUAAAGACUUGUUCUCAUCCCCACUCCUUGCUUUGAAUAUGCUUUUAGAACCUUCUCUUACCACCUGCUUACAUAGUUGAAAGAGAAUUUUAGGAAUCUUUGCCCUUAAUAGGAAGAGAACGAUAGUACCGCAAGUUGAGUUAAUGCUUGAAAUGUGAACCUUUGAUGCUUGGUUUGGUUUGUUAUUAUGCUUAUGCUUGAUUUGGAUCUUUGUAAUGAGUGCAAUGAUCUUGUGGAUUUCCUCUACAAUUUCAUUUAGUUUAUAGGCUUAAGGCAUAAGGAUUAAUGAACUAAAUAGUUGGGGUUGUUUAAAAUUCUGUUUCUGUCCUUUGCUGUUUUAUGGAGCAGUCUGCAAUGAAUCUGGUACAUCUCAAAAUCUGUUCAUGCAAUGUCCAUCAAAUUUUUCUGGGAACAAGUAGACUUCCAUAUCUUUCUAAUGCCGCAAGAAUGACCAUAUCAUCGAUUAUGAGCUGAGAGUUAUGACUGUUUCAAGUUGAGGUUUCUGCGCAGUCUGGAAUUCUGGAACAGUUUCGGUUGUACCCAGUUUUUGGUUAACCUCACGUUGGAAUCUGGUAAUAUGAUCUAAAUGAAAGUUGUAGACAAUUUCUUUAUCUUUCCAACGGUGUACAGCAUGUAUCCUUUUGAAUUCUGGAACUUGAGAUAUUAGUGAUUUUCUGAUCUGCUGAUGUUGGAUGUUACCCAGAAAAUUUCAGAUUCGGUUAACUCUUGUAAUUGUCAUGUUGGACAUUACUAAGAUGUGUUUAUAUACCUUGGAAUGCAGAUGGCAGCAAGGGGAAGAGGCAGAGGUAGAGGCCGUGGCAAUAGUGACAAUGCCCCAAUUACUGUGGAGGAACUUAUGCAAACUCAGAAUCAGAUGAUGCACGUCUUCAUGCAACACCUACAACAACAACCUCCACCAACACCACCACCUGUUCAUGUGAGAGAUAAGCGGGGGGAAUUCAUGAAGGGAAGACCUCCGGUAUUUACACACUCAGCGGAUCCCAUGGAGGCGGAUGAUUGGUUACGUGCUGUGGAGAGGCAACUAAACAUAGCACAGUGCAAUGACUUAGAGAAGGUGUUGUAUGCUUCUGGACAACUUCAGGGAGCAGCUCAGACCUGGUGGGAGUCAUAUCAAGCUGCUCGUCCCAACAAUGCUCCUCCUGUCACUUGGUUAGAAUUUUGCAGAGACUUCCGAGCACGACACAUCAAUGAAAGAAUGAUGGAGCUCAAGCAGGAAGAAUUCAGAUCUCUUAGGAUGGGUUCUAUGUCUGUGGCUGAGUAUCAUGACAUGUUUGAGCAGUUGGCUCGCUAUGCUCCAAACGAAGUCAGAGAAGAUGCUGACAAACAACGUCUCUUCAUGAAAGGUCUUUACUAUGAACUCAGAUUGCAACUGGCUGGAAAUACCUACCCUACAUUCCAGGCUCUGGUGAACCGUGCCAUUGUGUUGGAUAACAUGCGCAAAGGUCAGGAUAAGAAGAGGAGGAUGCUAGCACAAGGGUCUGGAGGCAACAACCGCCAACGUUUCAAUUCUCAGCAGAGCAAUCAACAGAGGUUCCAGGGACCAGUUAGUCGAUGGGAUCGCAACCAACAAUCUCAGCGUAAUCCUAAUCAUCAACAGAGUGGACAGCAGACUUCCCGCUCCGGAGAUUCAAAUGCCACCUCUAUGAAGAGAAGUGCUCCCAAUACCCCUACUAGGUGUUUUCGCUGUGGGAAAGAAGGUCAUAUGUCAUAUGAUUGCCCGGAGAGAUUCAACCAGCGGAACAACAAUCAAAAGUCUAAUUCUCAUGGAGCAAAGGUGAACCAUGUGGCUGCAGAGACAGUACAAGAGGGACCGGAGAUUAUGAUGGGUACGUUCAGUAUCAACUCUAUUCCCGCUACAGUUUUAUCUGAUUCUGGAGCUUCGCAUACAUUCAUAUCACAAGCAUUUGUUAGAGCUCAUAGCAUACCACUAGUUGCCCUGAAAACCCAUAUGCUAGUAAACUCACCGGGAGGGACUAUACCAGUUUCAUAUUGUUGCCCCUCAGCAAGUCUUUCUUUAAGGGGGGUAGAUUUCCCUGUUAGUCCCAUGGUUAUGAGAACCUCAGGCAUAGAUGUGAUAUUGGGUUUGGAUUGGAUGAAGAAAUAUGCUACGGAAAUUAAGUGCAAGGAGAAAGUAGUAGUUGUGACCACACCCAAGGGAGAGAGAAUCAGUGUGGACGUAGCAGUACAAGCUCCACCCACAGCCACAGUGAAUCAUUUAGAGGAUGAUGGUGUUGAUCUUCAGGACUGUGUAGGGAAUAAAUUUUCAGAUAAGUUAUCAGGUAUGUUACUUGACUAGAGACAUUGAAUUUGCUAGUGCAAUGGGAUUGACAUUCACAAGGAGAAACAACUUGGGAAAGAGAAGAGGAUUGGAGAGAAUCAAAUCCACAGUGCUUUAUUUAUACACUGCUCAAUCUCGAGGACGAGAUUCUUUUAAGGGGGU
rnacentral:lncRNA from 1 species